rnacentral:rRNA from 1 species
UACGUAGGGGGCAAGCGUUGUCCGGAUUCAUUGGGCGUAAAGAGCGUGUAGGCGGCCAGGUAGGUCGGUUGUGAAAUCUGGAGGCUCAACCUUCAGACGUCGACCGAAACCAUCUGGCUAGAGUCCGGGAGAGGAGAGUGGAAUUCCUGGUGUAGCGGUGAAAUGCGCAGAUAUCAGGAAGAACACCCGUGGCGAAAGCGGCUCUCUGGAACGGUACUGACGCUGAGACGCGAAAGCGUGGGGAGCAAACAGG